GCAAGUCGAGCGGUAACAGGGGAGCUUGCUCCUGCUGACGAGCGGCGGACGGGUGAGUAAGGCGUAGGAAUCUGCCUAGUAGAGGGGGACAACCUGUGGAAACGCAGGCUAAUACCGCAUAAUCCCUGAGGGGAAAAGGAGGGGACUCUUCGGAGCCUUCCGCUAUUAGAUGAGCCUGCGUGAGAUUAGCUAGUUGGUAAGGUAAAGGCUUACCAAGGCGACGAUCUCUAGCUGGUCUGAGAGGAUGAUC
rnacentral:rRNA from 1 species